UACGGAGGGUGCAAGCGUUAAUCGGAAUUAUUGGGCGUAAAGGGUGCGUAGGUGGUUGAAUAAGUUAUCUGUGAAAACCCUGGGCUUAACUUGGGGGAGAGAGAUAAAACUGUCUGACUAGAGUAUGGGAGAGGGUAGUGGAAUUUCCGGUGUAGCGGUGAAAUGCGUAGAGAUCGGAAGGAACACCGGUGGCGAAGGCGGCUACCUGGCCUAAUACUGACACUGAGGCACGAAAGCGUGGGGAGCAAACAGG
rnacentral:rRNA from 1 species